rnacentral:lncRNA from 1 species
GCACAGUGGUGGCCACCGCGACUGGUGCUGAAGUGUUGGCGCGUGCCGGGCGCUCCGCUGGGACCCGGGUUGCUGGCCCUGAGUCUCAGCUUUCUCAUCUGUACGGUUGGGACAAGUACAGUAACCCUCGCCCGUCAAGACGGGCCAGGGCUGUGGCGAGGGUCCACGCCUUAGAGCAGGUACCUAUCUUGUGCAGGGCCCUGAGAUGGGGUCUGACUCAGUUCCUGCGGGGAACUUCACCAGUGACCCAGUCAGUGCCCUUCAGUUAAAGACCACCAGGAGCACACUUGAAGCCAGCUGGAAAUACAACAAAACGCCUCUCCCGCUCCUUUAGCAAAACAUGUGUCAGAGCAACGCAAGAUUUGAUUGGGACUGCUUUACUUCGUUAACAAUUACAGCAGGAGUAGGGCUGAUUGGAGCCAUUGUACAGUGUCGGGAACAUACCAGGACACUGAGAAUAGUGUCAUGUCAUAAGGACCCAGAGCAGAUGGACCCUGCUGUGAUGCACAAAGAGGACCACGCAAGAUAUGAUAAAGAUCUACAUCACUGAAUUUUGGUUCCAUUUUUGUAUCUCAGCUUCCAGGAAAUAAAAAAGAAUUCUAACA